UGUUAAAUUGGCAGACUAGUGCAUUAAAUUUAGAAUUUAAAUAUGUAAUUAAUUUUCAUUUAACAA
rnacentral:tRNA from 1 species